rnacentral:lncRNA from 1 species
GAGUUGGUGUUGGCGGUGUUACGACCGGUGGGCUUGGUGUUGGUGGCGUAACAACAGGUGGCGGUGGGCACGGUGAUGGCGGUGGCGGUGGGCACGGUGAUGGCGGCGUUACGACGGGUGAAGGCGUAUGAGUGGGUGGUUUAGGGGUGGACGGAGGUGGUUUAACAGUGGGCGGUUUCGUGGGUGGUUUCGGGGUAGACGGAGGAGGUUUAACGGUGGGCGGUUUCGUGGGUGGUUUCGGGGUGGACGGAGGUGGUUUAACGGUGGGCGGUUUCGUGGGUGGUUUCGGGGUGGGAUGAGGUUUGGUAGGGGGUUUCGGAUGUGGGUGUGGUUUGACAGUGGGCGGUUUGGUAGGGGGUUUAGGGUGUGGGUGUGGUUUGACGGUGGGUGGUUUGGGAGGUUUUACUGCCGGUGGUUUAGGCGGUUUGCUAGGAUGUUUAGGCGGUUUGUGGGGGUGAGGUGAUGGUUUAGGAG